rnacentral:rRNA from 1 species
AUUGAACGCUGGCGGCAUGCUUUACACAUGCAAGUCGAACGGUAACAGGCCGCAAGGUGCUGACGAGUGGCGAACGGGUGAGUAAUGCAUCGGAACGUGCCCAGUCGUGGGGGAUAACGCAGCGAAAGCUGUGCUAAUACCGCAUACGAUCUAUGGAUGAAAGCGGGGGACCGUAAGGCCUCGCGCGAUUGGAGCGGCCGAUGUCAGAUUAGGUAGUUGGUGGGGUAAAGGCCUACCAAGCCGACGAUCUGUAGCUGGUCUGAGAGGACGACCAGCCACACUGGGACUGAGACACGGCGCAGACUCCUACGGGAGGCAGCAGUGGGGAAUUUUGGACAAUGGGCGCAAGCCUGAUCCAGCAAUGCCGCGUGCAGGAAGAAGGCCUUCGGGUUGUAACUGCUUUUGUACGGAACGAAACGGUCUGGGUUAAUACCCUGGGCUAAUGACGGUACCGUAAGAAUAAGCACCGGCUAACUACGUGCCAGCAGCCGCAGUAAAAC